rnacentral:rRNA from 1 species
GACGAACGCUGGCGGCGUGCUUAACACAUGCAAGUCGAACGGAAAGGCCCUGCUUUUGUGGGGUGCUCGAGUGGCGAACGGGUGAGUAACACGUGAGUAACCUGCCCUUGACUUUGGGAUAACUUCAGGAAACUGGGGCUAAUACCGGAUAGGAGCUCCUGCUGCAUGGGGGGGGUUGGAAAGUUUCGGCGGUGGGGGAUGGACUCGCGGCUUAUCAGCUUGUUGGUGGGGUAGUGGCUUACCAAGGCUUUGACGGGUAGCCGGCCUGGGAGGGUGACCGGCCACAUUGGGACUGAGAUACGGCCCAGACUCCUACGGGAGGCAGAAGUGGGGAAUAUUGCACAAUGGGCGGAAGCCUGAUGCAGCAACGCCGCGUGCGGGAUGACGGCCUUCGGGUUGUAAACCGCUUUCGCCUGUGACGAAGCGUGAGUGACGGUAACGGGUAAAGAAGCACCGGCUAACUACGUG